rnacentral:rRNA from 1 species
UAGGGAAUCUUCGGCAAUGGACGAAAGUCUGACCGAGCAACGCCGCGUGAGUGAAGAAGGCUUUCGGAUCGUAAAACUCUGUUGUUAGAGAAGAACAAGGACGUUAGUAACUGAACGUCCCCUGACGGUAUCUAACCAGAAAGCCACGGCUAACUACGUGCCAGCAGCCGCGGUAAUACGUAGGUGGCAAGCGUUGUCCGGAUUUAUUGGGCGUAAAGCGAGCGCAGGCGGUUUCUUAAGUCUGAUGUGAAAGCCCCCGGCUCAACCGGGGAGGGUCAUUGGAAACUGGGGGACUUGAGUGCAGAAGAGGAGAGUGGAAUUCCAUGUGUAGCGGUGAAAUGCGUAGAUAUAUGGAGGAACACCAGUGGCGAAGGCGGCUCUCUGGUAUGUAACUGACGCUGAGGCGCGAAAGCGUGGGGAGCAAACAGG